UCACUGUAGUUUUAGUUUAUGAAAAUAAGACAAAAGAUAAGUGGCACUAAAAAAAUUGUGGCACAUAUGCACAAUGGAUUAUGACUCUGCUGUUAAAAAUGAAGAAGUCAUCUCCUUUGUCUCAUUCUGGAUGGAACUGGAAGGCAUUCUGCUAAGUGAGAUAAGCCAGAAAGAGAAGGGCAAAUGCCAGCCGAUCUCACUUACAUGUGGAACUCUAAAAAAAGGGCAGAAAGUGAAGUGUGGACUGGGUGGGGUGAACUGCACCAAAGCAAAGGACCAUAGCCCACAAGCUACUCAACUCCUCCAUCUUAAAUACACGUGUCUGUAGUGCAGGGCCUGUCAUGAUCCUUCUUGACCUGGUACUUAGUGGGCAGUUCCUACAUGUAUAACAUGACAGAGCAACACAGGACAGCAAUGCUGGAGAACCAAGGGCUUACUGAACCCUACAUGAAGAGACACAAAGUUGCAGAUGCUACCAUGAUGCCAACCUGACUUCCCCAGGCAGAUGACCUCACCAAUGCGUACUGGAAGCCCACCUCUCCAGAGCCCUACCCCACUAAGGAAAGAUAGGGUCAGGCUGGGAGUAUGGAUCGACCUGCCAAUGUCCAUGUUCAGCGGAGAAGCAAUUACAAAAGCCAGACCUUCUGCCUUCUGCACCCCAUAAUGAUCCUGGGUCCAUAUUCCCAGAGGGAUAAAGAAUAGGGAGGUUUCCAGUGGAGGGUGUGGGAUGUGGAACUCUGGUGAUGGGAACUGUGUAUAACUGUGCCCCUCUUACCCUGUGGUCUUAUUGAUAUGUCUUAUUUUAUAAAUAAAUGAAUAAAAACAAGAAUCUCAAGUCUUUUAACUGCAAGCCUUUCUUCUCUCUGCCAAUAGCAACCAUCACAUACUUUCCUCCUCUUUGCUUUUUUUUCCCCUAACUUCUUACUUUCUCCCCCAAAGAAGUCAAGCAUUUUCUCUCUUGAAAAUCCC